UGGGGAAUAUUGCACAAUGGGGGAAACCCUGAUGCAGCGACGCCGCGUGAACGAAGAAGGUAUUCGUAUCGUAAAGUUCUGUCCUAUGGGAAGAUAAUGACAGUACCAUAGAAGAAAGCUCCGGCUAAAUACGUGCCAGCAGCCGCGGUAAUACGUAUGGAGCGAGCGUUGUCCGGAAUUAUUGGGCGUAAAGGGUACGCAGGCGGUUUAAUAAGUCGAAUGUUAAAGAUCGGGGCUCAACCCCGCAAAGCAUUGGAAACUGAUAAUCUUGAGUAGUGGAGAGGAAAGUGGAAUUACUAGUGUAGUGGUGAAAUACGUAGAUAUUAGGAAGAAUACCAGUAGCGAAGGCGACUUUCUGGACACACACUGACGCUGAGGUACGAAAGCGUGGGGAGCAAACAGG
rnacentral:rRNA from 1 species